GCGCUCUGCUCACUGUCCACAGGACGCAGAGAUCUCAGCCUUGAGGUUGCAGACCAUCCUGAGGAGAGUGCUGGCGAAGCGACAAGACAUCAAGUCAGACGGCUUCAGCAUCGAGACCUGCAAGAUCAUGGUGGACAUGCUGGACUCGGACGGGAGCGGCAGGCUGGGGCUGAAGGAGUUCUACAUCCUGUGGACGAAGAUCCAGAAGUACCAGAAAAUUUACCGGGAGAUCGACAUAGACAGGUCUGGCACCAUGAACUCCUACGAGAUGCGGAGGGCGCUGGAGGAAGCAGGGUUCAGGCUUCCUUGCGAACUGCACCAAGUCAUCGUUGCCCGGUUUGCAGACGACCGAGCUCAUCAUCGACUUUGACAACUUCGUCCGGUGCCUGGUUCGGCUGGAGACGCUGUUCAAGAUAUUCAAGCAGCUGGACCCCGAGGACACCGGGACCAUCCAGCUGGACCUCAUCUCUUGGCUGUGUUUCUCGGUGCUGUGAAGGGGUGCCCAGCACGCCUGGAGGCUACAGAGGACCCAGGGACUGAGUCUGGACACCUGGAUCGGGCUUGGCACUGUGGGACAUUACGUACACUGAGGACUGUAGCUGAGAACACUGUCUGAGAUAGCCAGACUGUCCCGCCAGGUAGAAGGUUUGCUUAUUAUACAAGUGCAAGUGAGCUGCUUAACCCCUGACAAGCCCAAAGGAAGCCUACACCUACAAACAGUACCCACUUUUCACUUUGACACGCUUUCCUGUUCGGAGCAAUGCUAAACCAGGAGGACAAGGAGGUGUUUUAAAUCAGUCUCCAGGCCAAGAGUAACGGGGAUGCUGAGUUUUAAAAUGCAGAGGUGGCGGCGUCGCCCCCCCAGCAGCCCAGGGACAGUGGCCUCAGCAAGGCAGCGAGAGCCCGGGGAGGAAAGCGCCCUCCUCAUGGGCCAGAUGAGAGCAGGGCGUGCACAGUGCUCAGGUCCUUGUACACGCUCAGCCCUGGGCCUUCACAGGGUCCCACACGUGACUGGUGAGGCUGUGGCCAAGCCAGGCUGGUUGCAAACUGAGGGCUAAGACCCUGGCCCUGCACUCCGUGUCCUCGGUGCCUUUCCGUGGUGAGGGAGGGCGUCCUGGAGGAGACGCCGCAGCUGCUUCUGGGCCUGACCUCGGGAAAGCUGCGACACUAAAACCAUUGCCUUUGCCUUACCACCUUCCUAGUGUCCUGUUGAAUAAAGUUGCCCGACAGCCACCCC
ensembl:lncRNA